ACACUCCUACGGGAGGCAGCAGUGGGGAAUAUUGGACAAUGGGCGCAAGCCUGAUCCAGCCAUGCCGCGUGAGUGAUGAAGGCCCUAGGGUUGUAAAGCUCUUUCACCGGUGAAGAUAAUGACGGUAACCGGAGAAGAAGCCCCGGCUAACUUCGUGCCAGCAGCCGCGGUAAUACGAAGGGGGCUAGCGUUGUUCGGAUUUACUGGGCGUAAAGCGCACGUAGGCGGACUAUUAAGUCAGGGGUGAAAUCCCGGGGCUCAACCCCGGAACUGCCUUUGAUACUGGUAGUCUUGAGUUCGAGAGAGGUGAGUGGAAUUCCGAGUGUAGAGGUGAAAUUCGUGGAUAUUCGGAGGAACACCAGUGGCGAAGGCGGCUCACUGGCUCGAUACUGACGCUGAGGUGCGAAAGCGUGGGGAGCAAACAGGAUUAGAAACCCCAGUAGUCCCAU
rnacentral:rRNA from 1 species